AGGUCUCCGACCUACACUACGGCUCACGGCAACGCCGGAUCCUUAACCCAGGGAUCGAACCCACGUCCUCAUGGAUACUAGUCGGGUUCGUUACCACUGAGCCACGACGGGAACUCCGUCUUUUGCCUUAGUAAUAGCGAUGCUAACCAAAUCAGCUGGCCUAUUAUUUUGGCCUACUGCAUUAUAAUUUUCCUUUUCGUUCUUAGCACUCAAAGGAAUGAUUCAUGAUUAUCUAAAAUUCUUAUACAAAAAAAAAAGGCAAGUGCAUUCAGAGCUUUAAAGCUUUCUAGAUCCGGUUUGCUCCCUUUUUGCAGUUCUUAAAGCCCAGUUUCAAAUAAGGCAUCAUGAGAACGGAUCAAACAGGAGAAGAAAAAAAAAUGAAGCACUAAAGAACAGAAAAAUUAAGCCAAGUCCGAGUCCCACGGCUCGGGCUCUCAUCCCGCCACCUGCAAGCCCUCCCUGAGCAGACCCGGACCAGGGCACCCGUGCCUGCCGCUGGGCCUCAGCGGCCUGCCUCCCUCUCAGACCUCCACCCAGGCUCAGCUCAGCCCCUCCCGAAAGGAGCUCCACAUGCCCGCGGGCGUUACGAGCAGGGCGACCCUCGGCCCACCUGCUGGCUUUAGCGCUGCAGGCCCGGCACCCGGCCAGGCCCUAGACGGCCGCGCCGGUCCCCAGCAGGUGUCGGCACAUUGAAGGCACGGCUCGUGCACAGCAAGACGGAGAGGAAAGCAAGUGACGGAGGACGCCGACGAGGACCACGGAGCCCGCUGCAUUCAUCCUGCCGACGUCCAGGCUCCCGUGACGCCCCCGGGACGCACGACGGCCUUCUCUCCCUUUCCUACCCAGACCGGGGCUCUCGCCCAGGCACUGUGCUUCUGAGACACGCUACUUGGCUGAUACCCCGCAUGGAUACGAGUCAGACUCGCCUCUGCUGCGCCAGGACAGCCACGCCAGCUGAGAGCAUCACCAUUCCUGUUCAAACGCGGCCACCCCGUGAGAAAAGCCCCAGGACCUCACCGCAGACCCUGCCAGGUUCAAGCUCAGGCUGUAAAUCUGCCAACAAAGCCUGGCUUCGGUGUCUCCUAAUGCUUAAGAGCCAAGACAGACGGUGCCAAAUCUCCUUUUCCUUCACUCCUUAGGGAAGAAAAGAAAAGAAAAAAAAGCCAGCUAGACACCUGCCAGCCCUACCACCGUCAGGGGCUAGAGUCACUGUCUAGGGGCUCCGGAGAAGGUGGGGGGUCUUCGGCUUCGGCACCAGCCUUGGGUACCAGUGCGCCCCGCCUCUUCCAGCUCUGGUCAACCUGCACCCCCUCUUCUAGAAUCAGAAUCCAGUUGGGACCUUGCUCUCAAACUGAGGUGUGGGGCCGACCAGCGGCUGGACCCCAUUCAGCUGGGUCCCUCUCUGCUCCCCCUCCGUGGCUCGGAGAGGGUCUUUGCACGGCCUCGGAACCUCAGCCUUCGCCGCCUCAGCCCCAGGCGCAUCCCGCGCCGCUGCUUCUCCGAGCUUUACCCGUCACCAGUGCACUUCCAUUCCAAUCACACCAGCAGCGUGGCCACUGUUUUGUGCAUUAUCAGCAAGUGCUGAGAACGUGCUGCACUUAGACGCCAGUUCAGCGCGGGCAAGAGGUCUCUGUACCCAUCACGCGUGUACACCAUCCCGUGUUGAACCCAGUCUACAUCCUUGAGCAAGAAAACGGGCGGAGACAUGGGUGUCGCGGGUGCCUUAGGCUCUGGCCUCCUGUUUGAUUCCUUUAAACACCAGCAGUUAAAACAUCUUAACAGGUAAGUACAGGCAGACGUCAAACCAAGCAGAGGUGAGGUUUAAAUUGGGAAAUCUUCGAAAGUCCUACAAACAGCUUUCCAAAGCAGAAUCCCGUAUGCACUUGUCUGGGUAGAAGAACAAGCCAGGAACCUGCCGACUGCGUACGGCUCCAGAACAGUUUACACCAGGGACGGACAGAAAUGUCAGGGAAAGGUCAAACCAAGUCACUCUCCUUCUAAGAGCCUUUCCAAAGUCUUUGGCCUUUUCUUUCUGUCUUGGCUGCGACAGUAUUUGCUACAUCAUGGGAUCAUCCUAACACCUGCUCGUCACUCUGCCAGACGGCCUCAGAUGUGGGCACCCGCCUGCUCGGGGGGGGCGGGGGGGACGGGACAGGAGGGAUGGCACAUGAAUGACAACCAGGACGCUCUGAUGUGACUGUGACACUCCCGGGACUGCAGAGAAGGCGGAAACGCUGACCACGAACAACAAGCAAAACACAAACCCACGGAGAGCAGCUAACCUUUCUGAAAUCCCGCCUUAAGUCCUAAAAGGGCACCAUGACAUCUAGCCAAGGGCUCCAUCACCGCCAAGACGGCCCUUUAGCACCCGGGAAACCGCCGUCCUCCCAACAGCAAGGCCUUCCCGUGUCAACGGGGGGCCAAGCUCCACCCGCAGAAAAGCGACGCUGCAGUGCAUGGAGCCACAAGGCAGGUGGGAUGCUGAAAG
ensembl:lncRNA